GAUGAAGAACGCAGCGAAAUGCGAUAAGUAAUGUGAAUUGCAGAAUUCAGUGAAUCAUCGAAUCUUUGAACGCAUCUUGCGCUCCUUGGUAUUCUGAGGAGCAUGCCUGUUUGAGUGUCAUUAAAUUCUCAACUACACUGACUUUGAAUUGGUGUGGCUUGGAUUUAGGGGGAAAAUUGUUGUGGGCUUUUUGUAUAGUCUGCUCCCCUGAAAUUGAUUAGCGGUACCUUUGUGGAACUGUCUACAGGUGUGAUAAUUAUCUACAUCUUAGACAUCUGCUGGAAUGCUGCUUUCUAAACCUUACUUGUAUUGACAAUCUUGACCUCAAAUCAGGUAGGACUACCCGCUGAACUUAAGCAUAUCUAUAAGCGGAGGA
rnacentral:misc_RNA from 1 species